CCUACGGGUGGCAGCAGUAGGGAAUCUUUCACAAUGGGCGAAAGCCUGAUGGAGCAACGCCGCGUGCAGGAUGCAGGCUUUCGGGUUGUAAACUGCUUUUAUAAGCGAGAAAUAUGAUGGUAACUUAUGAAUAAGGAUCGGCUAACUACGUGCCAGCAGCCGCGGUCAUACGUAGGAUCCGAGCAUUAUCCGGAGUGACUGGGUGUAAAGAGUUGCGUAGGUGGCAUAAUAAGUAGCUAGUGAAAUCUGGUGGCUCAAACAUUCAGACUAUUAGCUAAACUGUUAAGCUCGAGACCGUUAGGGGUAACGGGAAUGUCUGGUGUAGGGGUGAAAUGCGUAGAUAUUAGGAGGAACACCAAUGGCGUAGGCAGGUUACUGGGACGGUUCUGACGCUAAGGCACGAAAGCGUAGGUAGCAAACGGGAUUAGAUACCCUAGUAGUC
rnacentral:rRNA from 1 species